UGGGGGAUAUUGCACAAUGGGCGAAAGCCUGAUGCAGCGACGCCGCGUGGGGGAUGAAGGCUUUCGGGUUGUAAACCUCUUUCGCUAUCGAACAAGGCCCGCUUAGGGUGGGUUGAGGGUAGGUGGAGAAGAAGCGCCGGCUAACUACGUGCCAGCAGCCGCGGUAAUACGUAGGGCGCGAGCGUUGUCCGGAAUUAUUGGGCGUAAAGGGCUUGUAGGCGGCUUGUUGCGCCUGCUGUGAAAACGCGGGGCUUAACUUCGCGCGUGCAGUGGGUACGGGCAGGCUUGAGUGUGGUAGGGGUGACUGGAAUUCCAGGUGUAGCGGUGGAAUGCGUAGAGAUCUGGAGGAAUACCGGUGGCGAAGGCGGCCCCCUGGACAAAGACUGACGCUCAGGUGCGAAAGCGUGGGGAGCAAACAGG
rnacentral:rRNA from 1 species